UCUUAAACCACCUGAUCAACUUUGCAAAACAAAAAGCUUUACGAAACAUAAAAGUCAUGCUUUCAGCCCUAGGAUUGCUUUGAUUUCAUCUUGUGCCCAUCUGCUUAUCCUUCACCAGUUUUUUCCUCAAAAUAUUUUGUAACUCUUGAUAGCAGGGAAUGGCCUCCUUCUUUCCUCUGCAGCACCUGGGUGACAUUGUAGGGCAGAGCAGUAAUAAAUAACUGCUGCUGGAGAGCAGUUUGGAAACCCUGAGUUCUGGGCAGUUUUUUCCCCUCUUGCUGCAGUCCCGAGACAUGAAAAGAGGCCAUGUCAGAGGCCUGUCAUAGAGAUGCCCUGAUCUGAAAGUGUCAGAGCCACUUAGAGUUCACCUCUGACUUGGGGAUCUGGUAUUAAUGGAGGAGCUGAAAGGCCAAUUUUAAUAUACACAGGAGAUAAUAGAACCUGUCAUUAAAAAAAAGAAAUAAUAUCUCCCAGAGCACACAGAAGUGACUGCAUCAGUGUGUUCAUUAGCAAAGUGCUUGCACAGGGGAAGGCUGGUGCUUGUCCCAGAGCUGUGUGCAGGUCGUGGCUGCUGGGGCUGGAGAGGAGUGAUGGAAUCUCGCUUCCCCGCUGCUCUGGUGGCAGCUCCAGGGUCCUCCCACUUGGGAGAGUCAGGUCUGAACCCUGCUGGAGUCUGGAGCUGCUGGCUGUCCUGCAGCCCUGCUGUGUGCUGUGCCAGAACCCAAAGGUUUGGACAGCACAGGUGUGCUGGCCCAGUGCGAGCUGAGUUUCCUCCAAGAUCUCUGUGUUGGUGGGACAGCCAGCUCUCCUGUGGUUGGCAAGGAACUGAAGAUAUCGAUCAGGCCCUGGGAGACACAGUUUCUGGCAGCUCUGAAGGAUGAUCUCUGGUCUGAAAGUCACGAGUCCACAGUCAACUUGUUCUUGGGUAGAAGAGAAAAUUUCAGUGAUUUCUGACUUUGGUUUCCACUCUGCCUGAGAUAUGAGAUGUCUGUGCAAAACAGAGCGACAGAGAUUUAUGAUUCUCCUCGUGAAGAGGCGACUUGCACUGCCGUGACAUCUUGUAUCUCAGAAGAAGUUAAUCACAGCUUUUCUCUGUGUUGCUGGGUUACGUUGCUUUGAGAAAAAACAGAAACUGCUAUGAACAGUACGAAUAGCCGAAACCACAAGUCCCACUGAGAUUACAGCCAGCUCCUCCUAAAGGAAACUGAUUCAACCACCAACAUAGUUUUUCAUUAGAUGAUUUUUUUUCUGAGUGAACAAAAUACCCCUAUUGUGGCAUAAUUGUUUAGCUUUUGGACAUGUAGGCAGAGUUGCAACUACAUGACUGUUUGAAAUAAUAAUUCAAAUAGAUGAGGAGGGGAGGGCAGAGAGACAUUUGGCUUUUUAUUACAUUUUGUAGCAUGUUGCAUAGUAAUGCAGCAGGUUUUAAUUUUCUUGGUUUCUGUGCUUUUUGGCUCUGCAAAGGGGGGAAGGAGGAAAGUCUGUCUUGCAUUUCAGGACAAAUCUAAAUCUGAUGGACAAAAGUUUUGGCUAUCUGAUUGAAACCUUUUGUUGCUGAGACUGAGUGACUCUACCAGGCUGGCAGGGCUGAAGUGAUUCCUGUCUCGGAUUCAAUGUUUUGAACUGGUAAAACAUAUUUACUUGUGGUUAAUGGGAAAGUUAAUACUGUCAUUGUAGCAAUAUGAUAAUGGCUAAAAAUCAAGCUGAGUUGUAAGUGGGGAAAAUGAAGUAUAGAAAAACCAUGGAAGCAGAGUUUGUAUCCACAGAUAUAAUUUAAUUUAAGCACUUUUUGAUUUCCAGUAUCUUGACCUUUCAUACCAGAGACACCCGGAGUUGUACCCAGUUCUUCAAGAUGUGCAAAAUGAUGGUGGUUUUGAUGAAGUUAAUUAAACAGAAGAUGGUGAAGUUUACCAUAUUAAUGCUUGUCAUCUGAAAUGACUUCUACGUCUUAGCUAAAGGCCCAGAAAUUGCUUUGGUCCAUUCUUUUCCUGCCCUUGUAUUGACAAAGUACAUCACUCAUCAACAAAAGAUGUUGCUGUUUCAUCCAGAUGGGCUCAUCAAAAGGCAGCAUUUACUUAGGGGUUUAGGAGGUGCAGACAGUUAGGAAUUUAAAAAAUGGUCAAAGAAUGGGGGAUCUUGGAUCUGUGGUUGUUAGUGUGAAGAAAAGACAACAGUUUCCAAAAAGCAUUUGAAUAUCUACCCACUGGAAGCUUGAUGAUUUAAACAGCAUUGCCCUGGGAUAUCCCAAUCAGUUUUAAUCUUACAAAUCGCUGUUGUGUUCAUAUACUGUCUAGGCUAAAUGUAGCAACCAUACUUAAGGAAAUUUUUAAAUAUAGGGUUGGCCAGUCUGUGUUUCUUUGUAGACUUUUCUCAUGGGAAUUGUCUGGCUGGUUACACCAUGACCACCAAACAUCAGACAAUGCAAGGAUCUUCUUCCCCUUGUCCCACUUUAUUUCCAUCUCUCUUCUCAAAGGCACUCCCUUGGAGUGGUGGCUGUGGUUUGCUUGUUUUUUUUCUCUAGGAAGUUUGUGAGCAAACUCUUGGACUUACUCAUAAAGGCCUUUCUAACAUCUGAUCUUUGCUAGAAAGUUUUCCAGAGAAAGCUGUGCUAUGUGUUCAGAAUUCCCUUGAAAAUUAGUAACAAAUAAGGGAAUAAAAUUAAUUUGUUGAUCAUCUUCAAAAGCUGCUGAGCUCCUCAUGAGUGUUUCCAUGGCCUUUGCUGGGUGGAUGUUCAAAUCACUGAAAACUGUUGAGCUUUAAAACUGCACCGUGAGCCUGCCAAGCAUGAGGACUGUCCAUGUUUAAGGCCUCUUUUUAGGCAGGCUCUCAUGAGAGCUUUGGAAAGCUGGUGGCAUGCAGUAGGCACUCUUGAAAGUAAAGAAUGUUUUUGCAUAACUCUGGAUUUAAAUACUUCCAUUUAUUUCGUCUUUAAUGUUUUAUUAACCAUCUAAACCAGUUUAGAUUGCAGCUAGAUUUUCAGCAGCAAAACCAGAUAAACCAGUAUGUUUUGCUGACCUGAACAUUUGUUGAUAGGAAGAUACUCCAAGCACUCCUGUGUGCUCUUGCAGAGAGCUGGGUUGGAGAGAAACAAGCAUGGAGACCUGGCAAGCCAGUGCAGACGGUGAAACUCCAAGAGAUGGAAAACAUCCAGAGAAGACAUAAACUUCAAAAGGAGUUUUUCUAAUGAAAAUAACCCAUCAUGAGGAAAUGAGUCUAUCUGAGGCAUAUUCAGUGAGUGGGAAUACAUCUCAAGAAACCGAUACAAGUACGCUUUGUCUGAAUUGCAGAGGAAAUUAAUACAGACAGUUGAUUAAAAAUAUGACAGAACUUUGAAUUUUUAACUUCAUAAAAAGGACAAGUGAAACGUUGUUUCCAUAAGCAAAGACAAACCUGUGAAGGACAAAUCAGAAUGGAAAAUAGAUAGCAAGUUACUUGUUUAAAAACAAGCAAACAAGCCCCUCAAACCUGUUAAAAGCAAUGAGAAAAAGGGAAUUUGCUUUUAGACCAUAAGAGAUGGCUUGUGACUGUUGGUGCUGUGGCCUGUGGUCACGUGAGAUUUUGGAAGUUAAAUCUGCUGCUGCUUCUGGUCGCUGCUGUCAUCUGGAGCAUGGGGAUGUGCAUGACCCCAGGUGAUUUGAGAGCAGCUGUCAUCCCUAAGCCUCGGACUUCUGCAUAGCAUGAAUUGCUAGAGGGGGGUUGGGGUGAAAAUUCAGGACUACAAAAAAACCCCAAAUGUACAAUUUGACGGAAAAGUACCUAUACAGCCAGUUUAGGCCCUGCCUGGCCCGUUGGUUUGCAUUCACUGGGUGCAGAGAUGCCCGAAGUGAGGAGCAGCCCCUUCUGGAGCACGGUCCAGCUGUGCUGCACAAAGGGACCGUUUGAUUUCUGGCUUUUCCCUGCAGUGUCAGCAAUUCAGAAGCAGGCACUGAAGAAAAAUCUGAGCAAGGCUGUAAAACACUCCAAGAACCUCUGGAGAAGCUCAGCCCUCCCUGGUCUUGUCUGGGGUGGGAAAGCUGUGUCGUGACGUGGAGUUGGACCAGUGGGCCUUGCCCAAGUUUGUGUCAAGGACAGGGCCAGAUACCAGAGAUAACUCCCAUCCACGCACCUGCAGCAGAACAAUGAGGGGAUUUAUAUAGAGCUCUCUGCAACUGUGCAAGAUUGAGAACGCUGCCUCUAAGGCUGCCUGGGGCCUGUAGGCUUCUGGGCUUUGUCAAGGCUUGGAGAAGCACCUCUGAUUUAUUUGAUUUAACUCAUCUAUUUGUGUGAUAGUGUGUAUAUGGGGGGUGUAUUAACCAUUGCAAAGCAAGCAAAGUUGUUUUAGAAUAAUAGAAUCAUUGAAGUUGGAAAGGUCCUCCAAGAUCGGCAAGGCCAACCUUCAAACAAAUACCACCAUGUCCACUAAGUCAUGCCAUGAAGUGCCAUGUCUGUUCCUCUUUUAACACUUUCAGGGUUGGUGACUCCACAGCUUCCCUGGGGAGCCUGUUAAAUGCUUGACCAUUUGUUGGGGUUCCUCCCGCCUGCCUUGGGGUCCAGGGGGAGGGGACCCUGGAGUAGAGGCAGGGCCUGCAGGGUUUCCCUACUCCCUGGUCAAUCCUGUUCCCCGUUGGUUGUUUUGUGUUCCCCUGUGCGGGGAGGACCCUCUGGUCCCGUGAUUGCGGAGUUCUUCGGCAGUCCCCCGGCCAUGCAGCUGGAAAAUAAAGAUCUCUGAAACAUC